rnacentral:rRNA from 1 species
AUUGAACGCUGGCGGCAGGCCUAACACAUGCAAGUCGAACGAGUAGCGGACGGGUGAGUAAUUUCUGGGAAACUGCCUGAUGGAGGGGGAUAACUACUGGGAACGGUAGCUAAUAUCGCAUACCAUCAGCUGUGCCCAGAUGGGAUUAGCUAGUUGGUGGGGUAACGGCUGACCAAGGAGACGAUCCCUAGCUGGUCUGAGAGGAUGACGAGCCAGACUGGAACUGAGACACGGUCGAGACGCCGAGGGGAGGCAGCAGUGGGGAAUAUGGCACAAUGGGGGAAGGCCUGAUGGAGACAGGCCGCGUGUAUGAAGAAGGCCUUCGGGGUGUAAAGGACUUUCAGCGGGGAGGCGUUACCCGCAGAAGAAGCACCGGCUAACUACGUGCCAGCAGCCGCGGUAAUUC